rnacentral:rRNA from 1 species
AGCGAACGCUGGCGGCAGGCCCAACACAUGCAAGUCGAACGAACUCUUCGGAGUUAGUGGCGGACGGGUGAGUAACACGUGGGAACGUGCCUUUAGGCUCGGAAUAACUCAGGGAAACUCGUGCUCAUACCGAAUGUGCCCUUCGGGGGAAAGAUUUAUCGCCUUUAGAGCGGCCCGCGUCUGAUUAGCUAGUUGGUGAGGUAAAGGCUCACCAAGGCGACGAUCAGUAGCUGGUCUGAGAGGAUGAUCAGCCACAUUGGGACUGAGACACGGCCCAAACUCCUACGGGAGGCAGCAGUGGGGAAUCUUGCGCAAUGGGCGAAAGCCUGACGCAGCCAUGCCGCGUGAAUGAUGAAGGUCUUAGGAUUGUAAAAUUCUUUCACCGGGGACGAUAAUGACGGUACCCGGAGAAGAAGCCCCGGCCAACUUCGUGCCAGCCGCCGCCGUAA